CUUGGUCAUUUAGAGGAAGUAAAAGUCGUAACAAGGUUUCCGUAGGUGAACCUGCGGAAGGAUCAUUCACAAUGAGUGUUUUAUGGCACCCUUUAAAAAUCCAUAUCCACCUUGUGUGCAAUGUUUGUUGGGAGAGAGGCAACUCUUUCCCUUCACAAAUAUCAACCUAUAUCUUUAACAACAUUCGUCUGAUAACAUAUUAUGAAUAUACUUAAUUCAAAAUAUAACUUUCAACAACGGAUCUCUUGGCUCUCGCAUCGAUGAAGAACGCAGCGAAAUGCGAUACGUAAUGUGAAUUGCAGAAUUCAGUGAAUCAUCGAAUCUUUGAACGCAUAUUGCGCUCUUUGGUAUUCCGAAGAGCAUGCUUGUUUGAGUAUCAGUAAACACCUCAACCUCCUCUUGUUUUUUCAAAAAGGAGGGUGGACUUGAGCUAUCCCAACAACCUUCACCGGGUAGGCGGGCGGCUUGAAAUGCAGGGGCAGCUGGACUUUUAUCUGAGCUAAAAGCAUAUCUNUUUAGUCCCCNGUCAAACAGGAUUAUUACUAUUGCUGCAGCUAACAUAAAGGAUAANUGUCCUCAUUGCUGACUGAUGCAGGAAUUUACCACCCUUUAUGUGGUGGUCAACUCGAUCUCAAAUCNAGUAAGACUACCCGCUGAACUUAAGCAUAUCAUAAGCGGAGGAAAAGAAACUAACAGGAUUCCCYUAGUAACGCGAGUGAAGCGGAUGAGCUCAAAUUUGAANAUCUGGCUGGKUUACUAGUCCGAGUUGUAAUUAAAGAAGCGUUUUCGGUGGCAGCCUGGGUAUAAAUCCCUUNGGAAAUAGGGUAUCAUAGAGGGUGAGANUCCCGUCUUNGACUUAGUGCAUGCUACUAUGUGAUACGUUUUCAAAGAGUCGAGUUGUUNGGGAAUGCAGCUCAAAAUGGGUGGUAAAUUUCAUCUAAAGCUAAAUAUNGGCGAGAGACCGAUAGCGAACAAGUACCGUGAGGGAAAGAUGAAAAGAACUUUGAAAAGAGAGUUAAACAGUGCGUGAAAUUGUUGAAAGGGAAACGUUUGACACCAGUCAUGUGGGUGGAAAAUCAGUCUUUUGCAUUGGGGAGUUGUAAAGGUUCGGACCGCAAGGCCGGCUUUUGCUUCAUCUUUGGUGUAAGGGAUGCACUUUUUCAUCUACAGGUCAACAUCAGUUUCUUUUGCUGGACAAAACUCCGAGAGAAGGUAGCAGCUUAGGCUGUGUUAUAGCUCUGGAGCGAUACAGUGAAGGGGACUGAGGUUUUCGCAGCGUGUGCUCUCGGGCAAGGCUGGAUGGGUGCUAUGGGAUCGUUCGGGGUACAAUGCCUGGCAUUUUGCUUCGUGUCUUUUCUAUACUCGCUCAACUCAGCUCUUCCACGCUUAGGAUGUUGACUUAAUGGUUUUAAACGACCCGUCUUGAAACACGGACC
rnacentral:rRNA from 1 species